rnacentral:rRNA from 1 species
GUUAGGGAAUGUGGCGUUAAGGAGGAUCCGCAAUUCCCGGAGUCGCGUGCGGCGUGUCCAAGUCCUUCUUGAAAGAGGCCGAUCCACCCGCAGAGGGUGCCAGGCCCGUAGGACCGCCUACCGACGACGGGUCGGAUCUCUCCCUAGAGUCGGGUUGCUCGAGAUUGCAGCCCUAAGCAGGUGGUAAACUCCAUCUAAGGCUAAAUACGACCACGAGACCGAUAGCGAACAAGUACCGCGAGGGAAAGUUGAAAAGAACUUUGAAGAGAGAGUUCAAGAGUACGUGAAACCGUUCAGGGGUGAACCUGUGAAACCCGAAAGGUCGAAAGUCGAGAUACAGCGUUCGUCCGCAUCACGGCCGUCGAUCGUGAGAUCCUCGCCCGUUUGGGGGAUCUUGCGAGGCGCGGCGCGGCGACGUGCACUUUUCGGCGAGUAGGACGUCGCGACCCGUUGGGUCGUAGCCGGCGCACAUAUCGGGUGUCGCAAUGGGAAGCUCGGAAGGACGAAACGGGCCGCGCGUUCGUCCAGUUCUCCGAACCCGUUCGUGCACCCACGGCGUUCGGCACGCCCGACGCGACUUAAUUUUCAUAACGAACCGACCGGCGGAGCGCCUACGAGCGCGUCCGUCCCGUCGCCGUUCGACGGACGUCGUUCGGUACCGGCAGAUUCGGGCGGCCUAGCGCCGUCGGCUCCGGGAAAGACGCGUUCCGACGCGACGGUGUUCUCGGACGACCCCUGUCGGUCGAAUCCGCCGUCGGUCUGCGACGCUAUUGCUUUGGGUAAUCUCAGGACCCGUCUUGAAACACGGACC